rnacentral:rRNA from 1 species
CAGCCGCCGCGGGAAUACGUAGGUGGCAAGCGUUGUCCGGAAUUAUUGGGCGUAAAGGGCUCGCAGGCGGUUUCUUAAGUCUGAUGUGAAAGCCCCCGGCUCAACCGGGGAGGGUCAUUGGAAACUGGGAAACUUGAGUGCAGAAGAGGAGAGUGGAAUUCCACGUGUAGCGGUGAAAUGCGUAGAGAUGUGGAGGAACACCAGUGGCGAAGGUGACUCUCUGGUCUGUAACUGACGCUGAGGAGCGAAAGCGUGGGGAGCGAACAGGAUUAGAUACCCCCGUAGUCCCUGUCUCUUAUAC